UACAGAGGGGGCAAGCGUUGUUCGGAAUUACUGGGCGUAAAGGGCGCGUAGGCGGCCUUCUAAGUCGAACGUGAAAUCCCCGGGCUCAACCCGGGAACUGCGUCCGACACUGGAAGGCUUGAAUCCGGGAGAGGGAUGUGGAAUUCCAGGUGUAGCGGUGAAAUGCGUAGAUAUCUGGAGGAACACCGGUGGCGAAGGCGACGUCCUGGACCGGUAUUGACGCUGAGGCGCGAAAGCCAGGGGAGCAAACGGG
rnacentral:rRNA from 1 species